UACGUAGGGACCAAGCGUUGUUCGGAUUUACUGGGCGUAAAGGGUGCGUAGGUGGCGGGGUAAGUCUGGUGUGAAAGCUCCGAGCUCAACUCGGAAAAGCAUUGGAAACUAUCCCGCUUGAGGGUCGGAGGGGAGACUGGAAUUCUCGGUGUAGCAGUGAAAUGCGUAGAUAUCGAGAGGAACACCAGUGGCGAAGGCGAGUCUCUGGACGACUCCUGACACUGAGGCACGAAAGCUAGGGGAGCAAACAGG
rnacentral:rRNA from 1 species